UGGGGAAUAUUGCACAAUGGGGGAAACCCUGAUGCAGCGACGCCGCGUGAGCGAAGAAGGCCUUCGGGUCGUAAAGCUCUUUUAUAUGGGAAGAUAAUGACGGUACCUAACCAGAAAGCCACGGCUAACUACGUGCCAGCAGCCGCGGUAAUACGUAGGUGGCAAGCGUUGUCCGGAAUUAUUGGGCGUAAAGCGCGCGCAGGUGGUUUAGAAAGUCUGAGGUGAAAGCCCACGGCUCAACCGUGGAGGGUCAUUGGAAACUAAUAAACUUGAGUGCAGGAGAGAAAAGUGGAAUUCCUAGUGUAGCGGUGAAAUGCGUAGAGAUUAGGAGGAACACCGGUGGCGAAAGCGGCUUUUUGGCCUGCAACUGACACUGAGGCGCGAAAGCGUGGGGAGCAAACAGG
rnacentral:rRNA from 1 species